rnacentral:rRNA from 1 species
AUUGAACGCUGGCGGCAGGCCUAACACAUGCAAGUCGAGCGGUAACAGAUCCAGCUUGCUGGAUGCUGACGAGCGGCGGACGGGUGAGUAAUGCAUAGGAAUCUGCCCGAUAGUGGGGGAUAACCUGGGGAAACCCAGGCUAAUACCGCAUACGUCCUACGGGAGAAAGGGGGCUCCGGCUCCCGCUAUGGGAUGAGCCUAUGUCGGAUUAGCUAGUUGGUGAGGUAACGGCUCACCAAGGCCGCGAUCCGUAGCUGGUCUGAGAGGAUGAUCAGCCACAUCGGGACUGAGACACGGCCCGAACUCCUACGGGAGGCAGCAGUGGGGAAUAUUGGACAAUGGGGGAAACCCUGAUCCAGCCAUGCCGCGUGUGUGAAGAAGGCCCUCGGGUUGUAAAGCACUUUCAGCGAGGAAGAACGCCUAGCGGUUAAUACCCGCUAGGAAAGACAUCACUCGCAGAAGAAGCACCGGCUAACU